rnacentral:lncRNA from 1 species
AGAAUUUCUUAUUAAUCUACUUCUUCUUCUUCUUCUUGCAGAAGAUGAAACCCUGGAGUUUUUUGAACACAGUGGGAAAGCCUCCUUUGGUUUUAUGAAAAGCAGUGAGACCUCCUCAGCUGAAGAGAGGAAAAAUUCCUGUCUUUCUACCCAGAGAGUCCUGAUUGUGGAUUCCACCGGGGCAUAGUCUACCGCAGUUGAUUCAUAUUUAUUCCCUCAGGUGUGCAAAUUACCACUCUUGAUUGAAGAUUCUCAGGUAAAAAAAGGAGCAGCCACCCAUUUCCCUAAGCAGAACUGCUUGGAAGCAUGCAAUCUACCUGGCUUUCAGAAAUUCCUUUUAGAGGGGGAAAAAGAUACUGGAAUGUUUUAGAAUAUAAAGAUGUUCUCCCACAAAAGAAAGAGCUGGAUCAACGUGGAUAUAUCAUUUCAUUUGUGCUGCUAGAAAAAUCCAGCAGCUGGCCAGCUGUCUUUUCAAUGCUCUGAAGAUUCCCAGCUGAUACUGGAAAGAGGAGACAAAGGGAAAAUAAGCCUCACAGUUUGAAGCCAGGUCCAAAUGGCAAACCAACAUAUGCAUGGCCUUGUCUGCAGUCUGGGGAGUGUUUUGUUGGCUUUCCUUGGUGUGUUACCAUGUUCUACCCAAGAGUAAAUCUGCUGGUUAGCACUGGAUCCUCCUGCUCCUACAGCUCAGAGAAAAGGCUUCAGAGGCAUUCUCGUGGUGCUUUUACAGCACCUUCCCCAGCCAAGUGGAAAAGAGCUGCUGCAGGUAUAAACUGAGUUGAAUUUGUGAUUUACAUUCAGCCUUGCAGUGUAUUUCACAUUAAUGCCGUGAAUGAG